UUGGCCAUGUCCGGUAUGGAUGCUCACCCGGUAGAUCAAGGUUGGCCAUGUCCGGUAUGGAUCGUCACCCGGUAGAUCAAGGUUUGCCAUGUCCGGUAUGGAUGCUCACCCGGUAGAUCAAGGUUGGCCAUGUCCGGUAUGGAUGGUCACCCGGUAGAUCAAGGUUGGUCAUGUCCGGUAUGGAUUUUUUUGUUCACCUGAAAUUAGGCUUUUGUAAUAAUAACCUAAAGAUUACUAACAUUUACAAACAAGUUAGAUUAUUUGUACUUUUUGAAAAUAUACUUUGAUUCAUUCAAUGUUGAAGUGAAGUGAACUGGUUUUAGUUGUUACCUUAAAAACAUUAUUCAAGAUGAACUGGUGUCAAUGUUCAUUCAUCACAGAUCACAAUUCUGCAAUAAAAAGGUGUGAAGGGGA